AAUAAAGGAAAAACAAAAGCAAAAAUAAAGUACUAUUCUAUGCUUCCUCGAGUUACUUCGUCUUUGGCCUUCAUUUACAUUCACUUCGGAGCAUACCCCGGAUAAUAAUAUAUACAAAUCUCACGGGGCAUUCCCUGGAUAAAUUUAACUAAGGAAACAACCUCUUGCCUCGAAACUAAUAAAAUUCUAAGACUUGCCUAUCCGAAUAUGAUCGGCCUAAAACAUGCUCCUAGCGAUCAUUUAAAAACAAUAGUUGAAAUAA
rnacentral:lncRNA from 1 species